rnacentral:antisense_RNA from 1 species
CGUUAUGGCGGCUGUGUAUGGGAGAUCUUCGGGUCUGCCGGGUGACUCCACCGGUCUUGCACACCUAUGCACAGCUGCCACCUCU